AUGCCUCGCUCCCGUCGACGUCGACCCGGAAGCUGUCGCCGGCGGCCGGCCGGCGGUCAGCCUUAACACAGGCCUGGCUGCGGAGCGCAGUCGCCCAGGUUUGCGGCGGCAGCGGGCCGAGGAUCCCGGAGAGGACCCCGAUGAGGCCACUUCAGGUCGGGGCUGAGUGUGGGCGCGCGGUUCCCGGCGGCGUGUGACCCAGUCUCCGCCGGCCGCUGCCCUCUGCGUGUGUGAGUGUCCGUGGGCCCCAGGGCCCUGCAGCGCCGGCCCCGAGGCCGCGAAGAGGCCUUCCGCCUGGGGCAGUAUGAAGGCCGCAGAGUUUUCCUCCAAAGCCACACCUCGGCUGGAAGGGGCGAGUUCGAGGGCCCUGUUAGUGGUAGUCAUGGGGAGACGCGGAGCUGCAGCUGUCGCUUUGCAGUGCCUGUAGGACUUUGAGGGCCCGGAGCCCCGGUUCCCUGAACAGCACCCAGAUCGCCCCAUAUCUGAGACACAGUUCAUGCUCCCCUUCCCUAACUCUGAAGUAAAAUCUUGAGGGCUGGCAUCUGGGGAAGCCACCUUGUCUGUUCAGCCAUGAAGACAGAAACAGUGCCACCGUUCCAGGAAACUCCAGCUGGAUCCAGCUGUCACCUCAAUAACCUGUUGAGUAGCCGGAAGCUGAUGGCUGUGGGGGUCUUGCUUGGCUGGCUCCUGGUCAUACACCUUCUGGUCAACGUGUGGCUGCUGUGCCUUCUGUCCGCAUUGCUAGUGGUGCUGGGAGGAUGGCUGGGCUCCAGCAUUGCUGGAGCGGCUUCAGGUCGACUGCAUCUGGAACGCUUCAUCCCAUUGGCCACCUGCCCUCCAUGCCCUGAGGCAGAAAGGCAGCUGGAACAGGAGAUCAACCGCACCAUCCAGAUGAUUAUUCGAGAUUUUGUGUUAUCCUGGUACCGUUCCGUGAGCCAGGAGCCAGCCUUUGAGGAGGAAAUGGAGGCAGCCAUGAAAGGGUUGGUCCAGGAGCUUCGGAGAAGGAUGAGCAUGAUGGACAGUCAUGCUCUUGCCCAGAGUGUUCUGACUCUCUGCGGUUGUCACCUGCAGAGCUACAUUCAGGCAAAGGAGGCCACUGCAGGGAAGAAUGGUCCAGUUGAGCCUUCCCACCUCUGGGAGGCUUACUGCCGGGCUACUGCCCCACAUCCUGCUGUGCACAGCCCCAGUGCUGAAGUCAUCUAUACACGUGGCGUUGUGAAUUUGUUGCUUCAAGGGCUGGUGCCCAAGCCCCACUUGGAGACUCGUACCGGACGCCAUGUAGUGGUCGAACUCAUCACAUGCAAUGUAAUCUUACCACUGAUCAGCAGGCUGUCAGAUCCUGACUGGAUCCACCUUGUACUCGUGGGUAUCUUUUCCAAGGCCAGAGAUCCAGCACCCUGCCCAGCCAGUGCCCCCGAACAGCCCUCAGUGCCCACAUCUCUGCCACUGAUUGCUGAGGUAGAGCAGCUCGCAGAAGGGAGAGCUUCUCCAGUAGCAGCCCCAGUGUUCCUAAGUUACAGUGAGCCAGAGGGUCCUGCAGGCCCCUCUCCAGAGGUUGAAGAAGGCCACGAAGCUGUAGAGGGAGAUUUGGGUGGGAUGUGUGAAGAAAGAAAAGUAGGAAACAACUCAUCUCAUUUCCUACAGCCAAAUCUUCGAGGCCCCCUGUUCUUAUGUGAAGACUCAGAGCUGGAGUCUCCGCUGUCUGAACUGGGCAAAGAAACCAUCAUGCUCAUGACCCCAGGCAACUUUCUCUCCGACAGAAUUCAGGAUGCCCUGUGUGCCCUAGAGGGUUCCCAGGCUCUGGAACCCAAAGAUGGUGAGGCAUCUGAAGGAGCAGAGGCUGAGGAGGGUCCAGGGACAGAAACAGAGACAGGCCUGCCGGUCUCCACACUCAAUUCCUGCCCAGAGAUCUACAUUGACACAGCAGACAAGGAGAUAGAACAAGGAGAUGUUACCGCCUCUGUUACAGCUUUGCUGGAGGGGCCAGAAAAGACCUGCCCCUCACGGCCCUCAUGCUUAGAGAAGGAUCUCACCAAUGAUGUGAGCUCCCUUGAUCCUACUCUGCCACCAGUUCUGCUUUCCUCCUCUCCACCUGGUCCUCUCAACUCAGCCACCUUCAGCUUUGAGCCCCUAAGCAGUCCCGAUGGUCCAGUUAUCAUCCAGAACCUUCGUAUCACUGGCACCAUUACAGCCCGAGAGCACAGUGGCACCGGAUUCCACCCAUACACACUCUAUACUGUGAAGUACGAGACAGCCCUUGAUGGUGAAAACAGCAGCGGCCUGCAGCAGCUGGCCUACCACACUGUGAAUCGCCGCUAUCGGGAGUUCUUGAAUCUGCAGACCCGUCUGGAGGAGAAACCAGAUCUACGAAAGUUCAUCAAAAAUGUGAAGGGUCCUAAAAAGCUCUUUCCAGAUCUUCCAUUUGGAAACAUGGACAGUGACAGAGUAGAAGCCCGUAAGAGCCUCCUAGAAUCAUUCCUAAAGCAACUCUGUGCCAUUCCGGAGAUCGCUAACAGUGAGGAGGUGCAGGAGUUCCUUGCUCUGAACACAGAUGCUCGUAUUGCCUUUGUCAAGAAACCAUUUAUGGUCUCUAGAAUAGACAAGUUGGUGGUGAGUGCCAUUGUGGACACCUUGAAGACAGCGUUUCCUCGCUCUGAACCCCAGAGCCCCACAGAGGAGCUGAGUGAGGCCGAGACCGAAAGCAAGUCCCAGACAGAAGGCAAGAAGGCUAGCAAGUCCAGGCUGAGGUUUUCAUCCAGUAAAAUUUCUCCAACACUAAGUGUGACUGAAGCACAAGACAAGAUUCUUUAUUGUCUCCAGGAAGGCAAUGUGGAGUCUGAGACUCUAUCCAUGUCUGGGAUGGAAUCUUUUAUUGAAAAACAGACAAAGUUACUGGAAAUGCAGCCAACGAAAGCCCCAGAAAAAGAUCCUGAACAACCUCCCAAAGGACGUGUGGACAGUUGCGUGUCAGAUGCAGCUGUGCCAGCCCAAGUCCCCAGCAACAGCGAUCCAGGAACAGAGACAGAGUUAGCUGACACAGCCCUGGAUCUGCUCCUCUUGCUACUAACAGAACAGUGGAAAUGGCUGUGUACCGAAAACAUGCAGAAGUUUCUUCGUCUUAUCUUUGGGACCCUAGUUCAAAGGUGGCUAGAGGUGCAGGUAGCUAAUUUAACAAGUCCACAGCGCUGGGUGCAGUACCUCCGGCUUCUUCAGGAGUCCAUCUGGCCUGGUGGAGUUUUGCCUAAGUUUCCACGGCCUGUAAGGACCCAAGAGCAGAAACUGGCUGCUGAGAAACAGGCUUUGCAGAGCCUGAUGGGAGUCCUCCCAGAUCUCGUAGUAGAAAUUCUUGGGGUGAACAAAUGCCAGCUGAGCUGGGGUCUAGUCUUGGAGUCACUACAACAACCCCUCAUCAACAGGCAUUUGAUUUACUGCCUUGGGGACAUCAUCCUGGAAUCCUUGGACCUCAGUGCCUCUGUUGAGGAGUCUGCUGCUACCACCUCUGCCUCAGAUACCCCAGGCAACUCCAAGAGAAUGGGUGUCUCCUCCUAGCUGGUUAUUCACGCCUUCUUCCCAGGUCAGGGAAGUAGAGUUCCUCGGCCACCAGAGACCAGUCAGGAAGCCCGUGCUCUCUUGACGUAGGCUACAGCUAAGAAGGCCUAGGUUCUCGGUGGCUCACUUGUCUCCCACUUCUGCUCCAUUUGUAGCAGGUGACAGGGGUCUAUGUGUCCCAGUUGCAUGCACAUUUAUUUCCAUGUUCCUUUUGUGAUGUUGGGAUUGUUGCUGGUGAGUAGAUCCUGUUUCCUUUGGGAAAAGAAGCUGUGAGGUAGAGGAAUGAGCCCCUUUUGCUUCUCCUUUUGCCAUCCUCCCUGAGAUUGUUUGCCAGAAUCCUGGCCCUGUGCACACAUGUGCUUAAUCCACCAGCACACAAGCUCUGGGUAGAACAGGAAAAAAACUGUGGCCAGAUUUCCUUGGAGGAGAACACAACCUUCUGAGCUCUCUGUUCCUACCCGGAAACUAAAGAUUCAUUCAGGGCCAUUCUCAAAAACCAGACUCCUGGGUCCAAUCUAGUUUCCCAACAGUUCCAGAAGAAGAAGGAGGGAAGAAAAUUUUUCAAGGAACUUCUUGCUCACGUGUUGCUGUUUCCCAACACAUCAGCCUUGUGGAAGAUGUCAUGAGGCUGCUUCCCUGGGAGGCUACACUUUCCUUUCCAGAAGACUUCAAAGCUGACUGCCAAAGCUUCUGCUUGACGAAACCUGGUUUCUCCACCUGUCUUCACUUCUCCAAGCCUUACCUGCAAGCACUUCCAUGAAAGCCCCCAGCACACCAUCUCUGGGAUGCGGAAGCUUAGGAGGGAAGAAUUAAAAAAACAAAACGAAGGUAACAGUAAUCAAGAUCCAAACUUAGAAAACAUUUCUUGAAGUGACAUUAUCUGCUCCUUUUAACCCAAUCCCUUUGUCACCAGUCAGUGUUUGUUUACGAAGUGUAAGCUAAUUUUAAUAUUAAAGUGUUGUAGUGAUUAAGGAGGUAAGUUUGUGAAUAAUGUAUGAAUCAUCCACACUUUUGUCUUUUUUCCCACCUUAUGUUCCAUGUUACUGCUGCACCCUGUUAUAAGCAAAGGAGAGUUGGCUGUGAUUACUUCCAGAAACUUUGAUUAACCCAUGAGAGUAAAGACCUAGCUAGAUAGACACAGAAGUCCCUGAUCGCAGACAAAAGGACUCAAAUGUCGACAGAAGCAAUGACUUGUUUAUAGUGUGUUGAACUGGAUAUGGUGACCUGUGAGCAUAGGUAAUCAGCCCUUUUGCCCGCACCCCUGGGUGAAGAAUCAUCCUGCACCUGUAACUAUCAAAAAGAUUAACCAUGAAGGUUGAUAUGAAAUAUCUGCUUUUCAUACCUUGACACUAAGGAGAAUAGGCCUUAUUAAGGGAGGAAAAACACUUUUGGAGUUUACCUCCUUUACACAUGCUGCUUGCAUGGAAUCCAAAUUCAGUGAGCUGAUGGCAGGCCAGUUCCUUGCCACUUUAUGCAGUUGUGUUUAAAGUUUACCCUCUGUUAUCUAUAAAUGCAAGUGGCUUUUUCAAGAAGAGCGAGGGCAGCUUUCAUUAAGGACUCAUGCAUCUCUAGGAGAAUCACAUAGGCGUAGUUGGCAGUAGAGCAUUUUCUUGGGGACAGAAUGUAUUAUAGAUGGUUUAGGCAGGAGGUUAGACGAGAAACUUCCACAAAAAUCUAGGGAUUUUUUAUUCUGCCCAAACCACCAUGUUCCUUCCUGCUUUCAUUUUUUUGUUCUUGUCCUUCCUUCCACGUGGUAGAUUACCUUCUCUCCUCCAGCUGGGCAAGUAGGCUACCUCUGGCCGUAAGGACCAAUUCAAGUUCCUUUUUCAAGAAGCACUGUCUGAUUGCACCAGCCCAAACUCUUCCCACUUUCUUUUCAGUUAUCUACACUGCCUGUCUAGUCAAUGUGCAUGUAUAUGAAGUCCUCAGUAAGACAUUAUAAUUCUUCAAGGGCAGUGAACAUGUCUUUUAUCUUUUUUAGUCCUAUUAUGUCCUUAUGCCCCCUAACUAUAUGUAUAUACCUAGUGCAUGAUAGGUACAAAAUAAAUAUUAAAGUUUACUUAAUUAAAGAUUGUUUAAGAGGCAAAAUUUGUGAAUAAGUCUGGAUCUUGAUACUGUUACUUUCAUUUUGUCGAUUCCUUUCUCCCAACCUUCCACAUCCCAGAGAUAGUGUGCUGGUGACUUUUAUGGAAAGGCUUGCAGGUAAGGCUUGAAGGGUGAAGAUAUGUGGAGAAACCACCGUACCUCUUUGAAAUUAACUACUUAUUCCAAUGGAGGGCACUGGCUAAUCUGUACCAGACCUGCCCCAGACAGCUUUGUACAUCUUGCGUGUGGGUGGGAACCCAAAAAGUUUCCUUUUCAGUGGAUCUGUUUGGGUGAGAUAAAGAAAUCUGUUGCUCAAAUGUUUUCAUCAGAGGCUACCCCCUGUUCAGGUGUGUACCCUGCAUCCAUGUGGGUUUGCGGAUGGCAUAUGACAUUUGCAGCACCAGAGCUCAUUGCCACAGAUCAAAGGGAAGUAAGUGUGCAUAUGCAGAUGCAGCAGGAAUACCUGCGGUCUUUCUGCUGAAGAGCAGGGUUAUAUACCUCCUUUUAGUAAUCUGGAGAGGACUGAGGCAAGAGCUUGUAUUGAAACACAAGCAAGCUCCACGUAUGGUUUUGGACAUGGAAGAAAGAGUACUGUUGGGGUGGAAUGACCUAAGUUUUUAAUAGGAUUAGGAUUUCUGUGGAUUUUUCCCAAGUGAUAGAAAUUUUCUUCAUCUAGCAGGGAGCCUCACCCAAUUGCUUCUCUAUGUUCAUUUCUGAAACUCCUUUGUUAAAACUAAAUAGCAACCGAGAAGAAACUUUCUUCAAAAAACUCUUCAUAUCUGUCAUUUCUCCUGUUCUCAUGGAACUUCAAAAUUGCUUUUUCUUUAACCCUUUUUUUUUCCUAUAUCAGCUCAUCAGUCUUUAGUGGGUAACUUGGCUACCCCACAAUCUAAUUGCCUUUUUGAUAGUUAAAUCAAUAUGGACAUCAACUUAAGGCUAUAUGUGAACCUUAAAUGCAUGAUAUUCCCUAUACUUGAUUCCACAAUUGAUAUUCUAUGAGGAAAGUUGGCCAGAUAUUCCCUUCUGUGAAGUCAGAAUAACCCCCGACCCUAAGAAUAAACAUUUUGACCAAUUCUUUAUAUGUUGCAAACUAUCCACACAACUAGAAAGUUUAGCCAUUCACAUCUCUUCCCCUGAUUUUAAGUCCCAGAUUCUGAGACUCAGAAAGUUUAGUGACUUGUUGAGCUUUCUGUGGAAAACCUGUUGUAAAAACAGUUCAGAUAUUGGAAAAUAUAAAAUAGCCCCUAGAGAUCCCAAUAAAGCUUCCUCUCCCCAGAUCCCUCUAUAAGUUUAUCCUCGAAAAACUUUCUGAAAACUGAUGAGAAAAUACUGAGUAAUUAAUGCUCAAAUGGGAAAGAUGAUAUGUAAAAGCAAAAACCCGUUAAUGGCAUCUGUUCAUAUAGUUCCAUGUGCCUUUUUACUUAACUGCACUGAUAGGCAAUGUAAUGAAGAAGUUUCCUUUUAAAACAUAAAAGGUAAUUAAACAGUUUAUCUUAAAUUGGCUGGACCCACACAGCUUGAUUGAGACAUACACAGCUGUCUUCAUUUUGAAUGACCUACACUAGUCAAGCUUCUUUCUAACCUGCCCUUAGGGUUUGCCUGUUGGUCUGUCUUCCCCACUGGGCUGUUAAUCCCUUGGAGGCAGAUUGUCUCGUUUCCCAGAGUUUUUCCAGCAUAUACCAUGGCAGACAAUUUUCUCCUUAUCUAUUCUGACUCGUAAGCCUCAGCUAGUGCCUCCAUCCUCGGGUGCAUAGCCUAGUGACAGGCAUGUAACAGACUUUGCCUACCAGCAGUUGCUGAUCCAUAAACGAAGUUGGCAACCUUCUUGUGGUGGUGAGUAACAUGUUUCUUUCCUCCUGAUAGGCUUGGAAUCCUCAUCCCCAUCUGGCAAUUUUCUUUCCAUCUUUCCUACACUCGCGAUGGAGGCCACACCCCUCACAACCCCCUUGACUAAACCAGAUGACAGCAAGAAUGCCUAGUUCCAAGUGAGCAAGGGUGAAGCCUUAGGCCCUUGUCUCCUCCAGACCUCCUCUCUGCUGUAAAAGUAUACUGGGCAUGGGGUGUGGUCGGGUGUGGGGGGCGGAGGAGUACUUAACCUCAAACUGAGAAAAAGUGGGUCCUGAGCAAGUUUCAUAGCAUAGCAGCUUCCAUCUGAAAUGUGAAGCUUUGAAGUCCUGUUGCUACAGUAACCAGCUAGCUCCUGACUCCAAUGCCUGUCUAAUCUAAGGUGGAAAUGUCCCAGAAACAGACCCCAGGCUGGCAGCUCUUAACUAUGACCCAUCUCAUAAGCACAUAUCCAGCUGUAGCCUCUUGGUUGCUGGGGUGAAGGGGCCUCUGUAUCGCCACAGGAAAAAAAUCUGAUGAAUUCCAGGCUCAAAAAGGGUGUUGCUUUUUUUUCCACUAACAGACUCUGCAACCCAGUCCCUGGUGAAAGGGCUCCGCACCCACCCGUUUUGUGUGUAUAAUGCUGAGCUAAAGUGGGAAGGAGCAGUAACACCAAAGGAGGCUAAUUCUUUUCCUGUCAGUAGGAGAGAGUCUCUGCCCCCAGUGUGUGAAAAGGGAAGGCCUGAGAAGUGAAAAAUCAGCCUUCUGGAAGCACCUUCUUACCACAAGAAAACAGGUGAUUCUUACUAUCUUUGAGACUCAUCCAGAUUGUGUCUGUUUAACUCUUCGGGCAAUAUGAAGGCAGAGGUGGAGCCAUUUCAAAGAAGAGAUUUUUUAAAAAAAUCAUUUUGUUCUUUGGAAUUGUCACAGGAUUAUGAUGUAGAUUCUCAUAAAAAUUUAACUCACCCCAAACCCACCCAAAAGAAAGGCAGUGAAAUGGGGAGGAACACACAUUUGCCUGGCAUCAGAAGAGCUGCCUUGUAGUUGUGGGUUCUGGUGAUCUUGGACCAAUCUCUCUCUUCCCUGGACCUCAGUUUCUUCCAUACACAGAAGUUGAACUGGAUCAUAGAAAAGAUGCUGUCCAGCUUGGUAAUAUCUGAUAGGGAGCAGAAGCUGUCUCUUAGCACAUGGCCAGAUUCUGGAACAACGAUGAUGGUCUCCAUGUGUGUCCUAAAAAUGCGUCUCAUCUCAGUAGAGAUUUUCUUCCACCUCAUUUGGGUCUCAAUUUAAGGAAGGAAGAAAGGAAAGAAACCUUGAGAUUCUCUUCUUGAAAGGAAUAUGCUUCACUUUCUCUAGGCUUCUAGGAUAAAAACUUCCUAUCCUUCAUUUUUCCUCUUUAAACCUGCCAAAAUCAAGUUGACUAAAGAUACCAUACAGAUAUGAAAAAGAAGCCACAUCCUUAAAUUUUCAUGGAGUCCAAGAGCCUGCUCACUGCCAGUUAGCCUUUCCCAGGAUGGUGGUGGCACUGAUCAUCCAAGUCACACUUUUAUGUUCAUGUCCCAGAGCGUUUCCCAUCAGCCAUCUCAUUUCAUCUUUUCAUCAUUCGUCUGAGGAAUAGACUUCACACAUGUAUAGGACUUUCUAUAUCACAAAGUAUUUCAUAUCCAAUAUCUUAUUUAGAUCUUGACAAUCACUGUUUAAGGUAAUUUGGCAAGUUAUUAAUACUCAUGUCCUCAUUUUACUGAAGAGGAAACUGAAAUGCAGCGAGCUUGUCUUUUGCCCAGGAUCACUCCCCCGGUUUAUUGGGAGGCAGCAGCACAGAGAUUAAGAACACGGGCUGUGCCGACAACCAACCAGGUAGAAUCCCAGCUCUGUCAGUAGUUAGCUCUCUGGCCUUAGGAAAGUGAUUUCACACCUCUGUAGCUUAGUUUCCUUGUCCAUUAAAUGCUCAUAAGAAUAGUGCUUUCCUCACAGAGAUUGGGUGGGCAAGGGAGCUAAAUGAGCUAAUAUAUUUAAGAACAACCUCUAGCACACAGUGCAUAAUAAAUGUCAUUAUUAUUAGCAAAGCCAGGACCUGGGUCUUCCAGCUUCUAGCUCCGUGGCAUUUUUGCUGCCCUACACCAGGACUAUCCUUCAUAUACAGGUGUGAACCUAAAGCCUUCAGUGUUUCAAUGAAAAGUUCACCCAAGGUCUUUCUGUUCAGUAAGUCUAGAGCUAAGGGCUCCUGGCACUCUGUUCAGUCCUUUUGCUGGUAAACCACGCUGCCCUCCGUUGCUCUGGGCAGAAUAUCAAACCUUCUUAUGUUUUUAAAAUUUAUAAAUCAAGCACUCUUAUUUAGUAUUACUGACAGCCUGAAGGCAGACUUUCCCACUCUUCUGGGGAAGAGGGUCUUCUAAUCUGCCAUCUUAAGGAGGUAAAGGGGCUUGAUUGGGUAACUCAUUGCAAUGGGCACGUAUUUAUUAAUGUCUCCCGGCCUUUUCUCAUGCUGUUUGUCCGCUGGAAUUACCACUAGUGCCAGGCCAUUUGAAUAUUUGACCAUUUGUCUUAGAGUUCUCUGAAUACAAAUCUUGUUUCUCAUACCUUUAUUGUGUACUUUUUAAGAAGGAAGACUAUGUUGUAUGUUGGUAUGUACUCUCUCCUGCACAUAAAAAAUGCUUAGUAAACAGAUAUACAAAUGUU